GGACACGAGGCUCUCGCCUCUCCCGUUCGGACGCCCUAAGCCUCCGGACUUACCGUUGGCAUCCCAAACGCCUUUCCGGAGCCACAAAGACAGGAAGAGAGCGUCAGCAUCCGAAAGACCGGAAAUAAGCACUGGCCGGAAACCGUGGUGUUCCGCCCAAUGCCUUGUGGGAGUUGUAGUUCUUGGAGAAGCCCCACCUUUCCCUUUGUAGUGCCCGCCUGCCUGAGAGGCUGUGAGCGCUCCUAAGAGGAAGAAGAUCCCAGCCUUGUUCAGACGAAGAGGCGGAAGCAGAACAAGGUUUGCAUUCUCCAGAUGAGGAAAAAUGAGGUGAAAGAGGAAGACAAGGAGGACAAGGAGGAUGAGGAAGAGGAGGAGGACCAGAGAGAGGGGCCCCCUACCUCUUUGCAAUCACCUAGGACAGGACAGAGGCAAUGCCCGUACUCAAGAAUCCGCCAAGUGAGGCACAAGGAGCACCUGAGCAUCUUGGAAAGUGGCUUGAGCUUAUCCACCAAUGAAACCAAGUUGUCUGUCCAUGUUUUUGCCAAUACUUAUGUAGCUGCUGCCACAGGAAGCAGAAGUCAGUGGAGGAAAACAAGGCAUCCGACUCUGGAGCAAGGAGGAGCCCGGGUGAGACUGACUCAGCUGUGAGCUUCACUAAUGGGUGAUGGUCCAGAUCUCCACGGGGCUCCAAGGAAAGCUCUGGGCAGAAGCCAGAAGAGCAGAGUGUAAUCCUUCCGCUUAGAAAUAAAGCACAUUUUAUUUUUG
rnacentral:lncRNA from 1 species